AGUGAACGCUGGCGGUAGGCCUAACACAUGCAAGUCGAACGGCAACACAGUAAGAGCUUGCUCUUACGGGUGGCGAGUGGCGGACGGGUGAGGAAUACAUCGGAAUCUACUUUUUCGUGGGGGAUAACGUAGGGAAACUUACGCUAAUACCGCAUACGACCUACGGGUGAAAGCAGGGGAUCUUCGGACCUUGCGCGAUUGAAUGAGCCGAUGUCGGAUUAGCUAGUUGGCGGGGUAAAGGCCCACCAAGGCGACGAUCCGUAGCUGGUCUGAGAGGAUGAUCAGCGACACUGGAACGGAGACACGGUCCAGACGCCUACGGGAGGCAGCAGUGGGGAAUAGUGGACAAUGGGCGGAAGCCUGAUACAGCCAUACCGCGUGUGUGAAGAAGGCCUUCGGGUUGUAAAGCCCUUUUGUGGGGAAAGAAAAGCAGCAGGUUAAUACCCCGCUGUUCUGACGGUACCCAAAGAAGAAGCACCGGCUAACUUCGUG
rnacentral:rRNA from 1 species